UCGCCGCUCACAUGCAUCUACGAACGACUGCUUCGGCCUUAGUGGCGCACGGGUGCGUAGUCGUGGCGAAUCUGCCUACAGGUACGGAAUAACUAGCGAAACUCGAGCUGAAUACCGUAUGACAUCGAGAGAUCAAAGAUUUAUCGCCUGAAGAUGAGCCGACCGUUGGAUUAGCUAGUUGGUAGGGUAAAGGCUUACCAAGGCGACGAUCCAUAGCUGGUCUGAGAGGAUGAUCAGCCACACUGGGACUGAGACACGGCCCAGACUCCUACGGGAGCGCAGCAGUGGGGAAUAUUGGACAAUGGCGGGAAACCCUGAUCCAGCAAUGCCGCGUGAGUGAAGAAGAGCUUAGGGUUGUAAAGCUCUUGUACCCGGGAUGAUAAUGACAGUACCGGGAGAAUAAGCUCCGGCUAACUCCGUGCCAGCAGCCGCGGUAAUACGGAGCGGCAUUAGCGUUGUUCGGAAUUACUGGGCGUAUAAUUUACGUAGGCGGUUUAAUAAGUCAGGGGUGAAAGCCCAGAGCUCAACUCCGGAACUGCCUAUUGAGACUGUUAGACUAGAACAUAGAAGAGGUAAGUGGAAUAGAGAGUGUAGAGGUGAAAUUCGUAGAUAUUCGGAAGAACACCAGUGGCGAAGGCGACUUACUGGUCUAUAGUUGACGCUGAGGUACGAACAGCGUGGGUAGCAAUGAGGAUUAGAUACCCUGGUAGUCCACGCCGUAAACGAUGAUAACUAGCUGUCCCAGUACAUGGUAUCUGGGUGGUGGAGCUAACGCAUUAAGUUAUCCGCCUGGCGGAGUACGGUCGCAAGAUUAAUACUCAAAGAAAUUGACGGGCACCUGCACAAGCGGUGGAGCAUGUGGUUUAAUUCGAAGCAACGCGCAGAACUCUUACCAGCGUUUGACAUCCUGAUCGCGGGAGAUGGAGACAUUUCCUUAGAGUCCGGCUGGAUCAGAGACAGGUGCUGCAUGGCUCCCGUCAGCUCGUGUCGUGAGAUGUUGGGUUAAGUCCCGCAAGCUGCGCAACCCUCACCUCUAGUCUGCCAUCAUUAAGUUGGGCACUUGUAGAGGACUCUGCCGGUGAUAAGCCGGAGGAAGGUGGGGAUGACGUCAAUGUCCUCAUGGCCCUUACGCGCUGGGCUACACACGUGCUACAAUGGCGGUGACAGAUAGGCCGCAAGCCUACAAAGGUUAGCUAAUCUCAAAUAAGCCGUCUCAGUUCGGAUUGUUCUCUGCAACUCGAGAGCAUGAAGGCGGACAUCGCUAGUAAUCGCGGAUCAGCAUGCCGCGGUGAAUACGUUCCCAGGCCUUGUACACACCGCCCGUCACACCAUGGAUGUAUGGAUUCACCCGAAGGCGCUGCGCUAACCCGCAAGCGAGGCAGGCCUGCACGGUGGGUUCAGCGACUGGGGUGAAGUCGUAACAAGGUAGCCGUAGGAUCACCUGCGGCUGGAUCACGACCAG
rnacentral:rRNA from 1 species